rnacentral:misc_RNA from 1 species
GCAAACCCGACCUCUAUUUCACCCAAAAUCUAAAUCUCACAGUUCCCCCAUAUCUUGGUCGCUCAUUCUUGUUCAGACCCAGCUCCCUCGAAUCCCAACAAAUGCAAUGCCAUGCCUGACCCUCCUCACUUUGGUUCAGACCUAUAGUGAUUAAACCGUAAAACGCCACGCAAAUGCCAGAGCCUCACUCUGGUUCAGACUUAUCUCCCUCGAAUCCAUUGUUGUCCAAUACCCUCCCAAAUAAAGAAACAGAAAUGGCAAAACACAGAGACCAUGAAGAACGCAGAAAAGCUGGUGGAGAGAAACAUGAAAGGAAACAAAGCCUCUUGUGAUGCAUCGUCCGUAUGGAGGAUCAGGGAUCUUGAUUUCUCCCUCGCCUGUGAGGAAGGCCUAUCUUUUAGCCCUGAUUCCAUGAAAAUCAUAGAGCUUGCCGCACUUCUACAUGAUAUAGGUAACUACAAAUACUUGAGAGACCCACCUGAAGCAAAUUGUUAAGAUGUUUUUGGAGGAAGAGGGUGUGGAUGAAAUAAAGAAGAUGAAGAUAGGGGAAAUGGAAAUUUUGGCAAUACAAAUCAAUAAUUAAAAAAAAAUUAAUAAUAAAGGGCAUUGAUUACAGAUGAGAUGGGCACCAUGUUCUCUGACAAUGGAGAUUGCUGGAUGGGUUUCGUCCGCAUGAGGUCUUUGCUGGAGAUACAGUAGAGGUGGAUGAAAUCGAGGGUAUUUUGGGUAUUUUA